CUAUUGUCCCAGUUGAUCUGUCACUGGUCAGUUAUCAGUGGAGUAAUUAUUUCUUUUAAGAGAAGAAAUGAUGAAAACGCCUAUUGAAAGAGAGCUUAUCUUAUUUAACAUGUUAUCUCUAUGCUCUCCUGUUUAAAAGUCAAUUGCCAUUUGGUGCUGUUGCCUUCAAAACAUUUUUUUUAAUAUCUUUCCUUCGCCUCAUAUGUAUUUUAAUGGGCUCAUUUUCUUGUCUCAGGGUUACUCACUUUCUUUGUUUAUCAUAAAUUAAUUUUAGAAGUUAUUUUUAUCAUAAUUUAAUGGCCGAUGAUUUAUCAUGAUUUAAUCGAUUUUUGUCUCGUCCGUUUUGAAGUUUCAGAGGUCUUGCACAUUUUUGCUUAUUUUUUGCUGGUAAACUGAGUCCAAUAUCUAUCAAUUAAAUGCAAAUCUCUCAACGUCAUUUCUCAACACAGUUUACGUAGCUGUUUGUUCCAAUUUUUCUCUUGGUCUUGCUUAGUCUUUGGUUUUUACAGAGUUUACUUACAAUUAGGCGGAGAGUAAGCAGAUUGUCAAUUUUAUCAUCAUUUCAAGACUGUAAAAUGUGGACUGUCAUCAAGAAGAAAGAUUUUGAUGAGUUUGACGCCAUCCCCCAAUCAUGGGUACUGCCAAACCACAAGGAGGCCAUGUAUCCAAUCUUGCAACCUUCUGCGAUAAGGAAAAUGGCAGAAAGAGGAGAACGAAUCGGCAAACAUGCAUACGAACUAAUUCAAAUAAUCAAGUACAAGGAUUACGACUCAUAUGAAACAGCCUAUGACAACGCCAUACGCUAUACAUCAGGGAAAACCUCCAAAUCUGCUUCUGAGGGAGAGCCCAAAGGAAGAGGGUUGCGAAAGAAAAGAAAAUCCAGAUAUCUUCAAUCUUCGGAUAGCAGUUCAAGCGAAGAAGAGGUCAGAAAGAAAAAGAAAAAGAAAGGAAAGAAACGCAUCCAACCAUCUUCCUCCAGUUCAGAAGAAAAUUCUGAAGGUGAAAUAGUGGUGCAACGAUCCAAAAAGUCAGAUGAAGCUCAGAGACACAUCCAGAGGCACUUGGAGGAAACUGAAGAUCUUUCGCUCCCUACCAUUCCUCUGUAUAAUCCAAAAUCUGCUCAAAGUUGUGACAACUUCAUGGUAGUCACACCGGGUGCGCCUGCCAACGCGGACAGUCCCCGAAAAUCGCCAAAACCAUGUUCCAAGAUCUCUCAUGAAAAAACUGCUUCUCCCAGUACAAGCAAAUGUGUCGAUGCCAACAGGCCCAGCACAUCUAAAAGCCACACAGAGGAAAUUGCUUCUCCCCACAAAAGUAGUAUCGACAAUGCAAAGAGACAGCUUUUCAAAGGCAAAACCAGUCACCCUAACGCUAAAUGCAAACAGGGAAAAAAAAUCAAGCAUCCUUGUGGAUUCCGGAUGAGUUGUGAGCCACUGGAAGCAAUCAUGCACACGCAGUGCAUAAUUGGAGCUGAUAUCAAUGAGAUUAAAUACAGGCUCAAGAAGCAGAAUAAAAUGGAGAAAGUCAAACGGAAUGAAAGCGGGGACGAUGAGCCGAAAAUCAAAGAAGUUGAAAUGCCAGAGAAUAUUUUAGACAAAUUACCUCUGAAAAAUAAGGUGUCUCUGGACUCAUUUGAAGCGCAAAUCAAGACAGAUGACAAGCUUUUUAAGACGCUGGUUGAUGGAUUUUCGUGGCAUCAUCGCAAUGAUGCGAACAUCACAACGACUGCUAGAGGAGUGCUCAAAAGAAUCUUCGAAGUUUCUGUCCUUUCUUCAUACUCUCUAAAAGGCGGCUCCAAUAAUAAGGGAGAAAAAAAGUUGCCAUUCAUCGAGCUGAAAAGCUAUUCAUUAAUUAUAGAUGUUGUCAAGGCUCUCUGGAAACACAUCUUUCCCUCUUACAAAGAAGAGGCUGACAAAACAUUGGGACCAUACCUAAUCUCAUGCAAAACCCCUACAGCAUGAAUCUCAGUUGGACUCCUUCUUGGCCUUUAAGUUUCACUUACUCUCAGGUUUUUUUUUACAUUUUUAUAAUUUAAAACUCUCGUUGAAAGAAAAGACUGAUGAUUGAUUUUUUUCUUUAAAUUAGUUCGUGUAAGAAUUUGUUCCUCAUCCAAUAAGUUCUCAUUAUUAUCCAUUAGUUACAUUUCUUUGCCUUUAUCGAAAGAAAAGACUUAUGAUUGAUUUUUUUCUUUAAAUUAGUUCGUGUAAGAAUUUGUUCCUCGUCCAAUAAGUUCUCAUUAUUAUCCAUUAGUUACAUUUCUUUGCCUUUAUCGAAAGAAAAGACUAAUGAUUGAUUUUUUUCUUUAAAUUAGUUCGUGUAAGAAUUUGUUUCUCGUCCAAUAAGUUCUCAUUAUUAUCCAUUAGUUACAUUUCUUUGCCUUUAUCGUAAGAAAAGACUAAUGAUUGAUUUUUUUCUUUAAAUUAGUUCGUGUAAGAAUUUGUUUCUCGUCCAAUAACUUCUCAUUAUUAUCCAUCAGUUACAUUUCUUUGCCGUUAUCGAAAGAAAAGACUAAUGAUUGAUUUUUUUUCUUUAAAUUAGUUCGUGUAAGAAUUUGUUUCUCGUCCAAUAAGUUCUCAUUAUUAUCCAUUAGUUACAUUUCUUUGCCUUUAUCUUGAUCAAAGUGUGCUCAAAAGUUUCUUCACAUGCAAUUAUUGUACCCCUACUUUACCUCAUUUUUGGAGAAUCAGUCCUUGAAGCUCCUAAAAAACCAGGCUAUUACAAUUCUGAAGCGUUGUCAUCAUAAUUUUGCCAGUUCAGCAAGCGGCACUUUUUGCCAGAUUUUUGACAUUUGUAGGCAACUUUCGGGCCACUAUCAGGAAAGGUGAAAUAGAGGUCGAAUAAAUUCAUGUGAUACAACUUGGGUCCCGACUCAGAUCAAAAUGUAGCGGGAUUCCAUGUGAUCUUGCCUUCUAAGUCAAAUUCAUGUUAUUCGUUCCAGUAUUGGAUCGUAUUUUGUAUUGUGUUACCCAAUUAUUGUGUUUCUUUACCUUUUGUCAAUGUUCGUUAGUAUGUAAGCUCCAUCAUUCCAUGUGACCUUACGAAUUCUCAUUUUGUACCUGACAUGGAUCCUUGGAUGAGAUUUUCAUCUGUAUAACCUUACUAAGGCUCUUUCCCUAAACCUUUCAAGGGUAGUUUGCUACAGUGCAUGCAGACUAAUCGCAGGAGUUAUUGGUUCAAAUCUUUUUUUCUCCAACAUUUUACAGUGUUGUCAUAUUUCAAUCAAAAAUUGCUACUCUUUGCUUCAAUUUUUUUUUUUUUUUAAACAUUAACAGUUUCAGGUUUAAUUUUAUAUUACAUUGACAUGAAAGAGGUCCGAAUUGCUUCUUGCAGUGAAAAUAAAUACUGAAUAUCUAGCACAUAGUGCAGUAUUCCGUUAUUUGAAUUUAUGCUGUAAUUUGGAUGAGUUACACUAAAUUAUUAAAUUUUAUUGGCCCCAAAGUUGUUCCUAAAAAAAAUGCAACACAGUAUUUCCCAGUUUAAUAUUUCAAAAACCAUGCCACACUAGAAAUAUGUGCCUUCUGACCUCUGUGCACAAACAAAGAAGUCUUUAGUUACUUUCUUAAAAGUCUUAAUUUUUAUAAAGUAACCCCUUAGAAAUACCUACUACAUUUUAUUGUAAAUACUGUUUUGAGAUUUCUGGUCGUGCCAUUAAUUUUGGCACAAAAUAUCUUGUGAUUUAAUGAAGUUCAUAAAGGUGCUCGUACUUGAAAUUUAAGUAGGAAGUUACGCACUGAACCUAGCAUUUAAGAUUAAGAUUAGAUGCUUUUAGUCAAUUGUUCUUCAUACAUCUUUACAUGCAAGUUGUCAGAUUUUAUAAAUUUAUGUUAUACAUUUUUUUUUACUUUUAUGUAUGGACUGAAACAGUGCAUUGUUCUAUUUUUUCCAAUAAAAAAUGAAUUAAAUGAGAUAGAACAUUUUUUCUCUUCAGAUUUUUCCUGAAAGUUUUGGGGCAUGCAGUAGUAGGUAGAUUGUGUAAAAAUUUAAGGAAUAUUCUCAAAUGCAGAGGAGAGUCUUAAAUUGUUACAUUUGUAUCAAGAGCAUAGGGGUUAAGUAUCAUCCGAAGUUUGAUUUUUUUGCAACCCUGUCAAAAUUCGUAUUUUUGCUAAAAUUUGUUAACGCUGUAAAAUUUUGCAACGUCAUAAAAAUUCGCAGUUUUUUGUGAAAAUUUGCAACAUCGUGAAAAUCUGAAAUUUUUUGAAUCUUUGUAACACCUUCGAUAAGUACGCCAUUUUGCUGAAAUUCGUAAACGUUGUAAAAUUUUGCAUCGUCGUAAAAAUUCGAAAUUUUUUGUAAAAAUUUGCAACAAAGUGAAAAUCUGCAGUUUUCGUAAUAUUUGAAACACUGCCAAAAUGUACGAAUUUUUGCCGAAAUUUUUCGAGCGCAGAAAAAUUUUGCAAAAUUUUGCAACGUCGCAAAAUUUAACAGGUUUUUUGUAAAAUAUUGCAACGUCGCAAAAUUUAACAGGUUUUUUGUAAAAUUUUGCAACGUCGCAAAAUUUAACAGGUUUUUUGUAAAAUU
rnacentral:lncRNA from 1 species